GAUGAAGAACGCAGCGAAAUGCGAUAAGUAGUGUGAAUUGCAGAAUUCAGUGAAUCAUCGAAUCUUUGAACGCACAUGGCGCCUUCCAGUAUCCUGGGAGGCAUGCCUGUCCGAGCGUCGUUUCAACCCUCGAGCCCCCGUGGCCCGGCGUUGGGGAUCUGCCACGGCAGGCCCCUAAAACCAGUGGCGGACCCGAAGGCCCUCUCCUUGCGCAGUAGCAUCAGCCUCGCAUUGGGAUCCCUCGGCGUCCUGCCUCUAAACCCCCCACAAGUCCGCUCCGGCGGCACCAAGGUUGACCUCGGAUCAGGUAGGAAUACCCGCUGAACUUAAGCAUAUCAAUAAGCGGAGGA
rnacentral:misc_RNA from 1 species